GCGGUAGUGGUGGAAUUGGUAGACACGCUAGCUUGAGGUGCUAGUGGGAGAGAUCUUGUGCUGGUUCGAGUCCAGUCUACCGCA
rnacentral:tRNA from 2 species